AGCGAACGCUGGCGGCAGGCUUAACACAUGCAAGUCGAACGGUCCUUCGGGAUAGUGGCGGACGGGUGAGUAACACGUGGGAACGUACCCUUAGGUUCGGAACAACACAGGGAAACUUGUGCUAAUACCGGAUAAGCCCUUCGGGGGAAAGAUUUAUCGCCUUUGGAGCGGCCCGCGUCUGAUUAGCUUGUUGGUGAGGUAAUGGCUCACCAAGGCUACGAUCAGUAGCUGGUCUGAGAGGAUGGCCAGCCACACUGGGACUGAGACACGGCCCAGACUCCUACGGGAGGCAGCAGUGGGGAAUCUUGCGCAAUGGGCGAAAGCCUGACGCAGCCAUGCCGCGUGGAUGAUGAAGGUCUUAGGAUUGUAAAAUCCUUUCACCGGGGACGAUAAUGACGGUACCCGGAGAAGAAGCCCCGGCUAACUUCGUGCCAGCAGCCGCGGUAAUACGAAGGGGGCUAGCGUUGCU
rnacentral:rRNA from 1 species